AAAGUCGUAACAAGGUUUCCGUAGGUGAACCUGCGGAAGGAUCAUUGCAGAGAGAGAAUGGAAUUGGGAGGCGCGAGCCGCCUGAAGCCAUUUCACACAAGGUCGUCUGGGGAGAAGUCCCUGGAUUACACAAGCGCGUAACCGUGUGGCAGUGCAAGUAGGAUUAAAAAGCAAAACUUUUAACAAUGGAUCUCUUGGCUCUU
rnacentral:misc_RNA from 1 species